rnacentral:rRNA from 1 species
UACGUAGGAUGCAAGCGUUGUCCGGUUUUAUUGGGUUUAAAGGGGGGGUAGGCGGCCUAUUAAGUUAGUGGUGAAAACGUUCGGCUUAACCGGAUACCCGCCAUUGAUACUGAUAGACUUGAGUGCGACAGAGGGUGUUGGAAUGUGUGGUGUAGAGGUGAAAUGCUUAGAUAUCACGCAGAACACCAAUUGCGAAGGCAGAUGCCUAUGUAGUAACUGACGCUGAGGCACGAAAGCGUGGGGAGCAAACAGG